rnacentral:rRNA from 1 species
GACGAACGCUGGCGGCGUGCUUAACACAUGCGAGUCGAACGGAAAGGCCCUGCUUUUGUGGGGUGCUCGAGUGGCGAACGGGUGAGUAACACGUGAGUAACCUGCACUUGACUUUGGGAUAACUUCAGGAAACUGGGGCUAAUACCGGAUAGGAGCUCCUGCUGCAUGGUGGGGGUUGGAAAGUUUCGGCGGUUGGGGAUGGACUCGCGGCUUAUCAGCUCGUUGGUGGGGUAGUGGCUUACCAAGGCUUUGACGGGUAGCAGGCCUGAGAGGGUGACCGGCCACAUUAGAAUUGAGAUGCGGCCCGGACUCCUACGGGAGGCAGCGGUGGGGAAGAGUGCACAGUGGGCUGAGGCCUAAUGCAGCAACGCCGCGUGCGGGAUGACGGCCUGCGGGUUGUAUUCCGCUUUCGCCUGUGACGAGGCGUGAGUGACGGUAAUGGGUAAAGAAGCACCGGCUAACUACGUG